GGCAAGUCCAGAGGAGCUGACCCAGGGACAAAGUUACCUGCAGUAGUGGACAAGUGUACUCGGGGCACCCUCCUCCAACCCUUCUGUUUGUCCCUUACCUUGGUUGGAGACGUGACUGCAGUCGCCGGUCCAAGCCGUUAGCAGGGGCAAGAAGAAACCAAAUUGCAAAAGAAAUUCCCGGACUUCGCAGCCCCCCAUGGCUCUGAGCUAUAUUGUUCAGAAUUCUUUUGUAUUCCUUCAGAACAUUGUUCUUCAAGAUAUAUGGGAUCGGGUUUCAGUUAAAGUACAAGAAAACAUGUAGAGGCUCAGAAGUACCAAACAGAACCCUGGUGACAAAAAUUCUGAAAUAUUUUCAUAGAAGAAAUUUGGGACAAGCUCCUGCUUCUGAGAUAUAUCUCGAGUUCACUCUUCUUUGUCUAAUGCAUUAUGGACUUGGAUUAAUUAGAACAAAUAUGAUUUGCAUUGCCGAUCUCUAAAUACCUAA
ensembl:antisense Gm9017 predicted gene 9017